AUACGGAGGGUGCAAGCGUUACUCGGAAUCACUGGGCGUAAAGGACGCGUAGGCGGGAUGCCAAGUCUGAUGUGAAAUCCUAUGGCUCAACCAUAGAACUGCAUUGGAAACUGGUAACCUAGAGUAUGGGAGGGGGAGAUGGAAUUAGUGGUGUAGGGGUAAAAUCCGUAGAUAUCACUAGGAAUACCGAAAGCGAAGGCGAUCUCCUGGAACAUUACUGACGCUAAGGCGUGAAAGCGUGGGGAGCAAACAGGAUUAGAAACCCUUGUAGUCC
rnacentral:rRNA from 1 species